AGAGGCUUCGGCAAUGGGGGCAACCCUGACCGAGCGACGCCGCGUGGGUGAUGAAGAUUCUCGGAUCGUAAAACCCUGUCAGGUGGGAUGAAAAAUCAUUCGGUUAAUACCCGAGUGACAUGACAGUACCACCAGAGGAAGCUCCGGCCAACUCCGUUCCAGCAGCCGCGGUAACACGGGGGGAGCAAGCGUUGUUCGGAUUCAUUGGGCGUAAAGAGCUCGUAGGCGGCUCUGUAAGUCGGGGGUGAAAUCCCACAGCUCAACUGUGGACACGCCUUCGAUACUGCGGAGCUUGAGGCCGGGAGAGGAAAGUGGAAUUCCUGGUGUAGCGGUGAAAUGCGUAGAUAUCAGGAGGAACACCAGUGGCGAAGGCGACUUUCUGGACCGGUUCUGACGCUGAGGAGCGAAAGCCAGGGGAGCAAA
rnacentral:rRNA from 1 species